UACGAAGGGGGCUAGCGUUGUUCGGAAUUACUGGGCGUAAAGCGCGCGCAGGCGGUCUUCCAAGUCAGUGGUGAAAGCCCGGAGCUCAACUCCGGAACUGCCAUUGAAACUGUGAGACUGGAGUACGAGAGAGGUGAGUGGAAUUCCCAGUGUAGAGGUGAAAUUCGUAGAUAUUGGGAAGAACACCGGUGGCGAAGGCGGCUCACUGGCUCGUAACUGCCGCUCAGGCGCGACAGCGUGGGGAUCAAACAGG
rnacentral:rRNA from 1 species